rnacentral:lncRNA from 1 species
AGAAGUUUCAACAAACAUAUUGGCGGCACCAUCGUCGAAGAACAAAGCCUCGCUAUGCAACGCUGUUAAAUCGCCACCACUUCUUCGAAAGCAAGAGUAUUUCAUAUCAUGCUUUCUCCCUACUCUUUUCUUUGUCCUUGUUUUUACCUGCGGGACAAGGAGAAAGAAAGCAAUCAGACAACAUUUGGUAUCAAUCUUCCGAUCUGGAACCAACUGCUUGGAACCCUUCCCUGAUUGCUUACCUAGCACUGCUCUCAAAGUACCCAUUGUUUCAACAUCUUAUGCUUCUAAAGAAAAUACCACAUCUGCCUGAAUAAUAGAUAAGGCAAAGGAAAAUGAUACAUUGAAGCAUGUAAAGACAAGCACAACAAAACACGAGCCGAUUCAUCCGUUACUUCUUCAAAAUCAAAAGUAUCUCAUAUCAUUAGGGUUGCAAUCACUCUGGGUUUGGUGGACGUGUUUCGACCCUCAAAUUCUUGGGUCGGCCCGCUAGGCGUUGUGAGCUGCACGUGCCGAUUUACCACCCUUGAAUCAAAUCCUUAAAGAUUAAGUCACCAACUGGAAGAAGCGCCCAUCACUCUUGAAGAUCAUACCGUUGACCAAACUGCUCAGGGUUCAUAUGAAAAUGCUGCGAACUUCCUUGAUCUUU